rnacentral:lncRNA from 1 species
GUAAUCUUAGAAUUAUGUGAAACGAAUCUAAAAUUCCCAACUUACUGAAAAACUAAGGGACCAUCGUAAAUACCUUAACUUCUCUUGAUUAAGGGCAUGGAGCCGCUCCUAUGUCACUUUAUUGCAGCAUCUCGUUGCCAUGGGGCAGAGAAAAAGAAAACCUCAAAACUAAACAGCUAAUUUGCUCGGAUUAGCAUAUGACUCGGCCUUGAUUCUUGGCCAGUAAUCCAAUGGCUCAACAGGGACGCCGAAUGAUGCCAAAAUGGACUCGAGCACAAGUGUCGGAUCUUCACCUGCAAAUAUAUAACCAUGAAAAAAUUGUUGAGAGCGACACAAAAUCAUGGAAAUGUCAGCACGCAGCGUGUUCAACUCUAGCAUUUUAUCUCAGUGAUAAUUCAUCUGAUCUUUAACUGUAUGGCUUUCUUUUUUCUCCGGUGCCAACUUAAGUUACGAUAUCUACUACGUAUUUGCAUAAACCUCUGAAUACUAACAUUACGUAGACUUGAAUAAUCCAAAGGCUUUUCAGAUCAAAGGACUAUUAGACCUAAACUCCUGCAAGUUCAAAAUGACUAAGAAGAAGAAAAGCAGUUAAAGAACAAUAUAGAGGAAAAGGAAGCGAAAAAGGGAAGAAACCAAGGAUGACAAAAUAAUGGUCAACUUCAAGGAAAUAAUUAAUCCCAUCACUAAAUUUUGUCACACAUCUUACCGAGGAACAGCCCUUAAAUCACAAGAUAUGCUCGGAUGCAAAUUUCUAAGAAGAUGAGGAACCUGGGUUUAUUUCUACAGGAAGACAGAAGAAGGAAUGAAUUUGCGAAAUACCUGGAUGUAGUAAUAUUCAUGCACAGUUCUAC